rnacentral:RNase_P_RNA from 1 species
UUACGUGGAAACGCGAGGAAAGUCCGAACGCCGCAGGACAAGGACGCCGGCUAACUACCGGUGAAGGCGACUUCAAGGAAAGUGCAACAGAAAGUAAACUACCCGCAAGGGAAAAGGUGAAACGGCGAGGUAAAAGCUCACCGCUUCCCCGGCAACGGGGAAGGCAUUGUAAACCCCGUCCGGCGCAAGAUGUAAGAGCAUUCAGAGCUGUCCGCUCGCUCUUCGAUAUCGCUAGAGCCUAUCGGCAACGAUAUGCCCAGACAGAUGAUCGCCCUCGACAGAAUUCGGCUUACAGACCGUCUUG